rnacentral:rRNA from 1 species
GGCCUAACACAUGCAAGUCGAGCGGAAACGACUUAACUGAACCUUCGGGGGACGUUAAGGGCGUCGAGCGGCGGACGGGUGAGUAAUGCCUAGGAAAUUGCCCUGAUGUGGGGGAUAACCAUUGGAAACGAUGGCUAAUACCGCAUGAUGCCUACGGGCCAAAGAGGGGGACCUUCGGGCCUCUCGCGUCAGGAUAUGCCUAGGUGGGAUUAGCUAGUUGGUGAGGUAAUGGCUCACCAAGGCGACGAUCCCUAGCUGGUCUGAGAGGAUGAUCAGCCACACUGGAACUGAGACACGGUCCAGACUCCUACGGGAGGCAGCAGUGGGGAAUAUUGCACAAUGGGCGCAAGCCUGAUGCAGCCAUGCCGCGUGUGUGAAGAAGGCCUUCGGGUUGUAAAGCACUUUCAGUCGUGAGGAAGGUAGUGUAGUUAAUAGCUGCAUUAUUUGACGUUAGCGACAGAAGAAGCACCGGCUAACUCCGUGCCAGCAGCCGCGGUAAUACGGAGGGUGCGAGCGUUAAUCGGAAUUACUGGGCGUAAAGCGCAUGCAGGUGGUUUGUUAAGUCAGAUGUGAAAGCCCGGGGCUCAACCUCGGAAUAGCAUUUGAAACUGGCAGACUAGAGUACUGUAGAGGGGGGUAGAAUUUCAGGUGUAGCGGUGAAAUGCGUAGAGAUCUGAAGGAAUACCGGUGGCGAAGGCGGCCCCCUGGACAGAUACUGACACUCAGAUGCGAAAGCGUGGGGAGCAAACAGGAUUAGAUACCCUGGUAGUCCACGCCGUAAACGAUGUCUACUUGGAGGUUGUGGCCUUGAGCCGUGGCUUUCGGAGCUAACGCGUUAAGUAGACCGCCUGGGGAGUACGGUCGCAAGAUUAAAACUCAAAUGAAUUGACGGGGGCCCGCACAAGCGGUGGAGCAUGUGGUUUAAUUCGAUGCAACGCG